GUCGAACGCGCCCUUCGGGGCGAGUGGCGGACGGGUGAGUAACACGUGGGAACGUGCCCUUUGGUUCGGAAUAACUCAGGGAAACUUGAGCUAAUACCGGAUGAGCCCUACGGGGGAAAGAUUUAUCGCCAAAGGAGCGGCCCGCGUCUGAUUAGCUAGUUGGUGAGGUAAAGGCUCACCAAGGCUACGAUCAGUAGCUGGUCUGAGAGGAUGAUCAGCCACACUGGGACUGAGACACGGCCCAGACUCCUACGGGAGGCAGCAGUGGGGAAUCUUGCGCAAUGGGCGAAAGCCUGACGCAGCCAUGCCGCGUGGAUGAUGGAGGUCUUAGGAUUGUAAAAUCCUUUCACCGGGGACGAUAAUGACGGUACCCGGAGAAGGAGCCCCGGCUAACUUCGUGCCAGCAGCCGCGGUAAUACGAAGGGGGCUAGCGUUGCUCGGAAUUGCUGGGCGUAAAGGGCGCGUAGGCGGACAGUUUAGUCGGGGGUGAAAGCCCGGGGCUCAACCUCGGAAUUGCCUUCGAUACUGGCUGUCUUGAGUACGGGAGAGGUGUGUGGAACUCCGAGUGUAGAGGUGAAAUUCGUAGAUAUUCGGAAGA
rnacentral:rRNA from 1 species